CAUGUCGUCUGAAAUUACACCAUCAUCAGUCGUCGCAUCAGAACCCGGAAGUCCCUCCACGGAAACUGCAGCUGCUGUAGUCGGAGAGCAGACUUCAGGCUGCUCAGGGAAUUAGAUCAAUUAAAAACUUUGUGCGCCCUUGUGGAAAUUACAUACUCACAGAAUCAGAAGAGAAGAGGUUAAUUUUAACUGCAUAGCUGAAGGAGAGGCAGCCAUGAUUUGAAACACCACGUGUGGCAUGGGGCUGGCCAGCGGUAGGGGGCAGGAGCAGCACAGCGACUGAGUGAAGCCCCCCUGAAGCUGGUGACCGAGGGGGACCCCGAAAGAUCGGGAAGACCCCCUGGGUUGCAUCUUCUUUCCCCCCGGCAGUGGGGGGGAGAGGAAAGCAGCAGCAAAAGCAAAUAUGGCAUGGACCAGACCUAGAGACACAAGGAUGUCCAACGGGAAGAGAGAGAGAGAGUCGGUUGGAAUCAGUUCUAGGACAUGGUGACACGGGUGUUCCUCUGAAAUUCACGGUAAUACCCUCGGAUAAGGUGGCUGAAGAGCGAGAAGUGGGGGCAGACCCCCCAUACUCCUUAGAAGAAA